ACAUACUCAAUCCUCGUUCUUUCCCAUUUCUCCAGAGGAACAAUGCCUCAAACUUAAAUGAUUUCAGUGACUGCUGGAGUUGCCACUAAAGCAAGAAGACAAUAGGUUCAUAUCCCAACUGUGUCAUAUCCAAUAACAACAUCAAGUCACAAAUCUUAGGAAAAUCUAGCAUUUGACCACUGGGACUUCUGACAGUAGAAGUCACUGCAUAGCUUCUCUAAUAGGACUGA
rnacentral:lncRNA from 1 species